UCGGGAAUUUUGCACAAUGGCCGAAAGGCUGAUGCAGCAACGCCGCGUGAGCGAAGAAGGCCUUCGGGUUGUAAAGCUCUGUUGCCUGCGAAGAAGGGCCCUGUCAGGAAAUGGGCGGGGUUUGACGGUAGCAGGCGAGGAAGCCCCGGCAAACUACGUGCCAGCAGCCGCGGUAAUACGUAGGGGGCGAGCGUUGUCCGGAAUUACUGGGCGUAAAGGGCGUGUAGGCGGCCUGUUAAGUCAGGGGUGAAAGACCGGGGCUCAACCCCGGGUGUGCCUCUGAAACUGGCGGGCUUGAGUGCUCUAGAGGGCAGUGGAAUUCCCGGUGUAGCAGUGAAAUGCGUAGAGAUCGGGAGGAACACCAGUGGCGAAGGCGGCUGCCUGGGGAGUCACUGACGCUGAGGCGCGAAAGCUAGGGGAGCGAACAGG
rnacentral:rRNA from 1 species